rnacentral:tRNA from 1 species
GGGUAUUUAGCUCAGUGGUAGAGUUCUUGCCUCACAUACCCAAGGUCCUGGGUUCCAUCCCAGCAUGCCCU